CCCAUCCCAUCCUACCCCACUUCACCCCUACCAGGCCCCUCCAUCCCCCCACCCUGCUUUCCUCAUUUCUACAGGGAACUUACCUGUUUGCCCCCUCUGUGUCUGGGGCCUCACCUCAGUCCUCUUCAGCUCUUGAACUGAACCUACGUCAUUCUCCUGCCUAAAAACUCUGACCUGGGAUCUUCCUUGAAAUGUUUGCUGUCGUUUACUUGGCCUCGACAGGAAUGCUGUCUUCCAACAUAUCUUCAGGACCGUUUUCCCCUCUCACCAAAUUAGCUACAAGAUGGACUUUCUUUGUGAAUGCCCAAUGACCGACUUUUGUGUUUGAGUCAUCUUGCAGUAUCUUCAAUCAGAGGGACAGACUAAAAUCGCCAAGCUGUCAUAAAUUCAGGAUAUAUACAGUUAGAAUUUCAAGCGUUCUUUUGCGUGUGAUUAUACCAUUUGAUUUUGGUGGCGACGCAGUUGAAAAGCCAGCUCCCUGGUGUGUGGGGUGAGACGGUGAGGAUCUAGUUUAAUGGUCUACAUGUAGUCACGCUCUGUCUGUUGAAGAUGCUGUCAACAUCCUGAAUCUCUCCUCCCCUGCCUUUGAUGAAGUUGCUGCCACAUGAGGUGUGCCCAUCUGCAGGAAGUGGAGGAAGGACCCCAGCCAGUUAACCAGCAAGCACAUGAUUGACAGCCUCGGACCAAAAGCCUUGAGGAGCGAACCUGGCCAGAGUUCCAUGAGAGAAUCUGGAAAGGGGUUGUUCCCCAAUCAAGCCUUCCAAUUUCAGCCUUGCCAAAGAACCCCCAAGGCAGAGAAUGCAGGGUUCACAGAGCCUGAGACAAGGGACCAAUAAAGUUAAGGUGCCCAUAACACCAGUAGGUGAUUGUUAAUACGUGCUGGCUUCAUUUGACUUCGGAUGGGAGGUAGGAGGAGGGUAGGAAGAGAUCCAUUCUCAAAG
ensembl:lncRNA